GGUGAUACAAGCUGAUUCGGUCGAGUUUACCACCAGUCACAUCACGUCAUCUCUCCUUACACCGACCCGUGUAAAAAGAAGGUCAAAUUUAAUCUUACUCGACCUAUUGAUGCAUCAAAGGAGAGGGCGUUCGAUGAGUGGUAUAGGGUGGCACCGAAGGAAGCAACCGUGUGUACAUCUUAUAUGACGGUGGGAAAGGAAUUUUUUGCUGAGCUACUGACCGAUGAAGGAUGGUUGAAUUCCGAUCAUAUUGACACUAUUUUGUAUUUCAUACGAAAAAGACGGUUUGAUAAUGAGAAGAUGUUCACCAACACCUAUGCCAUAUUAGACGUGUUAUUUUGGGUAAGAUGAUGGGAUGUUACUGCGUUGCUUAAUGUUAUAUUGAUGAUAUUUUAUAUUGUAUAUAUUUCAUUAUUUGGCAGUCAUCCAUCAAAGGGCGUUAUCCCAUAUGGAGGGCAUCUCGUAGCACAUAUUCAUGUGAUGCGACCCUUUGUAACUAUGUGCGUGGGAGGUCACCCAAACCUAGCGUGUCGUGGCGGAUAUGUGAUUAUGUGUACAUCCCUGUCAACAAUGGAGGCGCGCAUUGGUUGGCAGCAUGUGUGGACUUGAAGGCCCGGCAUAUUGAUUUAUACGAUCCAAAUAUGGGAAAUAAAUAUGUCCAGAAUAGAGAGUUGAAGAAUGCGGAAUGCCUUACGUAUAUGCUGCCUUACCUAUUGAGGGAUGGGGGAUAUUACGGGAAGAAUCCGGACGUGUCUCCCACUUUAGAUCC